AGAUGCAAAGGCAGUGUCUCUCUCUUUUUUUCUGACUACAGUUUGAUCCUUUCCUCUCUCUGAAUGCCUGUACAGCUGCUGUUGCUAAGAUCUUGUACUGGAUAGCUCUGCUCCACUCUGCUUUUCUUGCCUGACAUUAGGAAAGUGACUGCCUCUGCCCUCUGAAGUGGAUGUCAGCUGACUAGAGGAAUGGAAGGACCUUUCCCAAGGAAAUUUGUCACCUGCUGAAGGCUGAAGACAUCCCUGAAUGAAAUACAAUUGCACACCAUUCACGGUCUACCUAAAGUCACCCCAGUAGUGUUGUUCCUGCAGCAGGUUUGCCUUCACCAAGAGACCAUCGUUGCUGUUCCACAGCCUGCACUGAGAGAAUUCCUUGGUUAUAGCAUGCAGUGAGAACAGAGUUCAAAGUGGGUGAUGCUCUUGGAAAUGAGUAGUAGAAGACCUGCUAUUCUCUAAACCUGAAGCAUUCCAAGCCUGGUUGCUGAAGCAGCCUGCAAGGUCUUCUGUGUGAAGUGUCUUACUGACAGUGAAAACUACCAUUUUCUAUAGGAAAUCUCCUGACUGUUCAAAGAACUGUCUAUUCCUCACAUUUACCAAGCUGCUCCAGAUGGGGACUCUGAAGGAAUGGAGUGAAAGUAAUACCGAGGAAACUGUUCAAAAUUUGUUCAUGAAGAAAACAAGCUCGAGAGGGACAAGGGAUGUUCAGGCUCCAUUCCACUUUCCUUCCCAGUGGCUUUUUCGUAAUUCAAAUGUCAUAGGCUAGUUCAGUAUAUUUACAAUGAGCUCUUCAGUCUCUUCUUUCAAGGAUCCUGCCUCAUCCAAAAGAGAGAUGUGACAGUUUCAAGUGGAAUGGUUCUUGCAGGUGAUUUUCUUUAUAAGGUCAAAGUAAAACCAACAAAACCAGAACAUAAUAAACCUCACAUACCCAGUGAAGAGAAUAAACUUGUCUGUGGCCUUUUUUUGACUUUCUGGAAAAAAGACGAAAAUACCUGGGCUAUCUCAUCAGAUAUCCUGGCAGUUGCUAUAGACUGUACAAUUUGACUGCAUCAGGAAAAUAAAGUCUAUAUUUACACGUGGCUGAAAGUUUUGUUCUUCAAGUGUUUGAGUCUAGAAGGUGAAAGCAAACCAGAAAAUAAAAUCUUCUUUGAAACAAUGUUUGUUCCUACUCAUUAGAGCAGUGAAAGCCUCAACAAAUCUUUUACAAACUGAAGUCAGAGUAUAAUGAAAUGUCAUAGAACUCUGCAGGACUAAGAGAAGCUGUCAUGGAGUUACUUUACCUUUAAGAAAAGUUGAAGUUGCUGGGAACUGCCUGGAGUCU